GAUGAAGAACGCAGCGAAAUGCGAUACGUAGUGUGAAUUGCAGAAAUACGUGAACCAUCGAAUCUUUGAACGCAUAUUGCGCUCGAGGCUUCGGCCAAGAGCAUGUCUGCCUCAGCGUCGGGUUAAUACUCGCCGACUCUACACCAUGUGUGCGGAGUACGCGGACCUGGCUUUCCCAGCCCGUUUCAUUUUCGGUGCUGGGUUGGCUGAAGAAAAGAGGUUGAUGCAAUGUGGACCCGUCAAGGGCCUCGGCUUUGGUAGUGCAAUUCGUUGCUCAAUGCUAACAGCUGACGGCCUGGGCCCGUGCCUGUCAAUCCAAACCAGGAAAAUAUAUUAACCAUUUUCUCGACCUGAGCUCAGGCAAGAACACCCGCUGAACUUAAGCAUAUCAAUAAGCGGAGGA
rnacentral:misc_RNA from 1 species